UACAGAGGGUGCGAGCGUUGUCCGGAAUCACUGGGCGUAAAGGGCGCGUAGGUGGCCUGAUAAGUAGGGGGUGAAAUCUCGAGGCUCAACUUCGAGGCUGCCUCCUAAACUGUCAGGCUUGAGCAGAGUAGAGGCAGGUGGAAUUCCCGGUGUAGCGGUGGAAUGCGUAGAGAUCGGGAAGAACAUCGGUGGCGAAGGCGGCCUGCUGGGCCGUUGCUGACACUGAGGCGCGACAGCGUGGGGAGCAAACAGG
rnacentral:rRNA from 1 species